CCCUUAGAUGUCCUGGGCCGCACGCGUGCUACACUGACGCCUACAGCGAGUACUUCCCAGCCCCGAGAGGUGGCUGGUAAUCAGCAAUAGGCGUCGUGACGGGGAUAGAUCUUUGGAAUUAUGGAUCUUGAACGAGGAAUGCCUAGUAAGCGCAGGUCAUUAGCCUGCGCUGAUUAAGUCCCUGCCCUUUGUACACACCGCCCGUCGCUCCUACCGAUUUCGAGUGGUCCGGUGAAUCUUUCGGACUGCGCGCGGCCUCGUGCCGUGUCGCGGAAAGUCAGGUAAACCUUAUCACUUAGAGGAAGGAGAAGUCGUAACA
rnacentral:rRNA from 1 species